GGCAAGUCCUGACCAAGACUCAGAGGAGGGUGAAUGAAUCUCAGGAGGCAGAGAUCGCUGGGAGCAUCGCAGGGGCGCACACCGUGUUCUGUAGUCCUACGUCAAUGUGCCUACCCUCAGAGGUGAACUGGAAACAGACCUGUGGGUGGACAGAAGAAAAUGCAUCUGCAAAAGUCCCAGACUGUGGCCCUCCAGAGGAAACCAGGUUUACAUCACCACAAAGGAGCUAGAGGAAUGAAAAGAAGAGGAUACAGAAACUUCCUGGGGUGAAGAGGAUGGAGGAAGGUGCUAUCAAAGACAUUUCCACUCAAAGGAAAGACUCGGAUGAUCAUUCUUACCCUGGGAAGUUCUUUCUGCUGCUUUGAUGGUGUAAUCAUUUUUCUCUCCUUGACUGUGGCCUAUUUUCCUAAGGCACCUGAACUUGAGUGAGUGUCUAUGUUCAAGAUGCACCCGUUGCAUAGGAAGCAGCAGAGAUAGCUCGUGGUGGCUUUGGGGCACAGGGGGUGCAGCCUGGCCACACACAGUUGGGCCUGGCUGGCUCUGGUGGGGGCAGGGAGGUUUUAUGGGGCUGUAGACAAAGCAUCCAGUUACCCAUCUGUUAACCAGCGGAGGAGUUAUUUUCUUUUCUACUUCUUUCUCAGUUUGCAAGGAGCAGGAUGCUGCCUAGUGUAAGGGAAUUUUAACACCUAACACUUACUAAUGUCCUUUUAUAAUAAAGUGAGAAGCCAAGCCUCUGAGCAAGCCUUUUGGCAGGCCACAGUGCCUAGCUACAAUUUAAUAACUUCUUUCCUAUGGUAUUCAUCCUUAGGGUUUGCUUCUCUUUAGGGUAGAAGGUACUGGUUUUCCAUUUGCUGCAGUGAUUGUAAGUUUCCUUUUCACUGAACAAAUGUACUUGUAAGCACAUAUGAGAAUUGAAUAAAUGGAAAAAUAAGUAAAUCACACAGAUAUUAUGUAGAUUUGGAAAAAGUUUUAAUGUUUACAAAAGUUGAAAGGCUUUGGAGAAGCCACCUUCUCUGAGCUUCCAUUCCUUGUUUGUUAAAUUGGACUAGUAUGCUAUUUACCUCUGGAGGUCAAGGUACAAGGCCAGUGGUUGUAAGUACCAGCCCCCCACCAUUCUCUCCCCCUGAAAAUUCUCUUCCCUUCCCCUGGGACCUGGAACCUGAUACAAACUUCCAAAGCUACAGGAGUGUGGUUGUUGUUCUUACUAAGCUUGGAAUGAAGUUCCACUACAGUGGGGUUUCUGAGUUCCAGGCCAUACUCAAACCUGAACAGACUAGCAAUGCCCAAUACCCAGUCAUGGGAGGCAGAUAUUGAUGAGUUAUUUGACCAAGGAAGGCCAUCAAAGUCAGCCCAUGUAUUCUUUUGAAUAAUCAUGUUCCGGGCACAGCACAGGUGAAUUCCUUUUCCCUCCAGACUGACACACUGCCGUACGCAGCAGCUAAGCCCAGUUUUAAACCAACAGUGUUGCUCUUUUAAAACUAGUGGUGUCACCAUUUUAUUAAGCUGGUGGUGAGCUGUCACUGUCCCCCUUUCCUUUUGUUCAUCUAUUAUCUAUUUAAACUAAUCACUUAAUUAGCCUAGACAAGAAGAUUUCUAUGGUGUUAACUCUAAAAACCUACUGGAAAUGCUUGAGUAGCCUGAUUGGAUUUAACUUGCAGUUCAUUACCUCUAGACUAAGAUAAUGUUAAAUGCAGGGCCUGAGAAACAGUGCUUUGGAAAUAAAUUCUGCUUACUAAAAACAACAACAACAAAAAACAAACAGGUCGGUGGUUUUCAGACUGAGGGCCCUGACCCAUCCAAAUCAGUAGCAGCUGGGAGCAUGAGUCUGUGGCCCUCUUGAAAUUCUAGCGGGAGGAUCUUGCAAUCAGUUCUGACAGACCCUUCCGUAUCACAGGCAGAGGUCAAAGUGUGAUGACUAUUACUGUGGACUUCCUGUCACGCUUCUAACAGAAGAAAAAGAAUAAAGAAGGCAAAAGGGGAGAGAGAGAGAGAGAGAGAAGAAAGAGAAAAGCAAAAAGUCAGCACAGUGGGGGAAUGAGACCUUAGAAGCUGGGGUAGGAAGGCUGUUUACUAAAUUGUGCUUUGUUUUGGGGGGUUUUGUUUUUUUUUGGUAGCAGAGAUUGAACUCGGGUCCUUGCGCUUGCACAGUAGGGGGUGAAACCACUGAGCUAAAUCCCCAGCCCUGUAAAUUGUACUUUGAAACAGCAGCCUGGAGCUCCUUUGGAUGCUGGGAGCAGCUUUACAUCCUUCCUUAGGAAACAGGGACAAAAUACAGAGAAAUAUGCUAUGAAAGUGCUCAGAAUGCUACCACAUUGUCAGAAAGUAGGAACACAGUGGGCGUUUGGAGCGUGAAAUGGAGUCCAGGAAAGCACAGCAGCUCUGAGGGCACACUAAGGGCACUUGGUAAAUGCUUAUUAACACCUUCAAGAUGGGGCUGCAACCUGUCUCACUGCUGGGCAGCUUGAAUUAGCAGUGGUAGAUGUACGACUGUCCCAUUGGGGAGCUUUUCAUUAAUUUUAUUAGUGAAAAGACCAAUAAAAGUGAUUAGGUCCGUUUGUACCGCCAGUGGUACAAGCUGCCCACUGGGACAGUCAUACAUGUGCCACCAGUGGAUCAAGCUGGAACAUGUGAAAUUGACAAAGGCUGAGCUCCAGUGACCUAAAUCCAGUUUCCUGCAUAGGGAUGUUAAUUGGUCUAUAAGGGCAAAUCAAGUAUUCUCCCAUAGGGCAUCUGCUGUAUCUUCUCCUCUUGCCUUCUGAACAACAGCUCAGCUUAAGGUUUCUUACAGGACAGGAAUUCUUAUCGGUGUGUGACCUUAAGUAAGACACACACUCCCUAGGCUUCAGGUUCCCUGCCUAUAGGAGGAGGAUAGUAUGUACUUAUAGAUGUUUCUGCUCACACUGUAGCACCAGCACCUCAUGCAAAUAGUGUUUGACAUACAACAGGUGUUGAAU